UUCCUCCCCAAGUUGCGCUGGGUCAUGGUGUCUCAUCACAGCAAUAGUAAUCUUAACUAAGACAAAUUGAUAUCAGGAUUCUGAGGUGUUCUUGUGACUGAUUUGACAUUGGUAUUUUUUUUGGGGGGGGGGUAGGAUUGUAGAAGGACUUUGGAACCUUGGGCUAUGAAAACCAUUGAGUGUUCAAAGUUUGUCGAUCUUUUCUAAGGGAGCUUGGAAGAUUAGUGUGAUAGGAGAAAAAUAGGUCAUGGGGGGGGGGGAGCCUGAGAGUCUUUUAAAUCUGUCAGGGAUGUUGCGUAGUUUGAGUUAAGAAUCUGUGGUUCUGGUUACGUAGGGCUGAAAUAGUGACUGUAGUUGACAAGAGAUCAGAACCAAAAAAGAAAAAAAAAUUGCUUUACUGGUAUAAUUGAUGCUGGUCAGCUGGUCACUAGUAAGAAGUUAGAAGUGAUUAAGAAGAGACCAGCGUCACUGAGAGGAAAUCUUCUGGAAAGUGCUUCCUGAGAGUCUGCACACAGCCACCGUGUUCCAGAGGCAGCCAAGGUUGCAUCUCACACUGGACGCUCGAUUUGGUAAAGAGUCACUGAGGUGGUACUGGUUUUGAAGGCAUGAAGGGGUCAUGAAAAGCAGCUGAGGCUAGGUACUGUGAGAGGCCCAGAGAGUCUGUUGGUGAUGGAGCAGCCCAGUAGCAGCAGAGACCCCAGCAUUUUGGAGAUGUAAGUACCAUGGGACGACUGCCAAGGACAGCAGGGGAGGGGUGGAGCUGGCUUCAGCAUAAAGGAUAAGCUGUGUGUGCAUCAGAGGACAGAGCUGAAGAAGUGACCCAAGAAGCCCCUUGGAAGAGCCCAGAAGACGAUGACUGAAUCCCAGAUCCUGGAAAUUGAAUCAUUUACACCGUUGGAGUGUGGUUUUGUGUUCUUCAGAUUGCGACUGUGCCCUGGUUCUUCCCUCUUGAAACAAGGUUCUUGCUGUGUAGCUUAUAUUGGCCUGGAACUCCUUAUGUAGCCAGGGCCCCGGUUAGCUACCAACUGGCCAUCCUCUUCUCUCUGCCUUCCCAGUGCUGGGAUUACAGGCCUUGGUCCUCCUUGACCCACGGAAUAACUAAGUCCUACUGGACGGGACAAACAACAACAGCAACAGCAACAGCAACAGCAACAG